UGGCCAUCAAAAUAGAGAGAAUAUAACCAGUACCCAUGUAAUUCGUCAACUGAUUGGCAGCAUCGGCUAGUUCAAAGUGCAUCACAGAAUUGAAAUACGUAAUCAAGUUUACUGCAAGCGCAAAGAUCGCCAUGCUCUCGAAACCAAAUGUAGCUGCAACAGAAACCCAAAAGGUAUAAAAACAAAGUAACAAAUGCAAAAUUACAAGCAGAAUAAAUCUCUUAAUGUUCCAAAAAGUUCCCAUCAUGAGCUUUUGGUUUUGACUAAGUCUAAGAACUUCUCUUUGGAGAGCCCAAGUUGUUCGAUGGAUUAUAACUAUUUAGCCGGACGAAAGAUCCACAUGAGACUCAGAAUGCGAUGGUUUGAGCAAUAUCCCAUAAAGAAUGGAAUAACUGUUAGUGUUAGGAAAGGAGAAGAGAACCAAUAAUCAUGAUGAUCUCAGUUGGUUUGUCUAAAUGAUUGGACUGUUUUAAUUAUUUAAAAUUUUAACAUAUGCUUUAGCUUUCAAGCAGGCCAUCUAGUUUGACCUUGGUAUGCUAUAUAUACUGUAUACAGCAUCGAUUAUGUUUCAUUUUUCAAUUCAAAAGUAGUUUGAUUGUCAUUUUCAGAAAAAACUAUUAAUGUGUGCUUAUAAUAGUAUAUGUAAGAAUAAAUAUCAUUUUGAUGAGUGAUGAGAUUGCAGAUAAGUUU